GUGAGCUAGGAAGAGGAAGAAAUAUUCUAAGAGCAGUGAGAAUGGGAAUACGGAGGAAACGCCGAGCUAUCUGUCUGCACCUCUGUAACUAGAGGUGGAUAUUUGUCUCAGUGUUUCCCCAUGCCUCCCAUUCCUAUUGUUCUUAGGUUCUCCUUCCCCUUCCUUUUAUCU
rnacentral:pre_miRNA from 1 species